UCAUGCUGAAGUCGGCAUAUUUCUUAAUGUAAAGGUGCAGUUGUAUUUUAGUCCCUUUAAAAUAAAGAAUUAUAACGAUGAUAUCUUGAGUUUCAUUCAUAAAAUGUUUUAAAUACACAUUUUGAAAAUAAACUUUAAAUGUGGAGCGAAGGUGUCACGCUCCGGACUUUCACCCCGGAGACCGGUGUGCGUGUCCUUCAGCAAGUCAACUGAUCCCAGACCUGCACCUUUAUUAUACAAUAUAACAAUAUAAGACUAUAACACUAUAACAUUAUAACAAUAUAGCAAUAUAACAAUAUAACAUAACAAUAUAAGACUAUAACAAUAUAGCAAUAUACAAAUAUAAUAAUAUAGCCGUAGUUAUAUACUUAGUUCUAGUUUCCUCCUCAGAGUCCUGGCGGCGGACGAGUCAGGGGAACCGGAACCUUUCCCCUGGUGCAUGCUGGGAUAUCCCGUGGCCUCAAGCUCCACCCACAACCCUGAAGAGGAACACGGCGGUGCAGAACUUUGAUGACGGAGGACUCUGGCCCAAAAGUUCUUUCAGCGUCCGUUAUUUAUUGUAAUGUCAUUAUCAAUCAUGCAGAUAAUAAACGUACUCGUACGGCGUGCUGUGAUUGGCCGAGGUGUUUACGUUAAAGAAGAGCCCGGUGACCUCUGGUGACCUCUGGGACCUCCGAAGUUACCCCCUCGGCAUGGCGGCCGAACACGAACCUCCUCCCGCGCCGCCCGGUGGAACCUCUUGGUAGUGCAGAAUUCAGAAAGACUUCAAAGAUGGAGGCGGUCGUGGAGAUACUCUGUUGCCUUCCUGUGCCGCCCCCUGGUGGCUCUGUGGCGCGUGUGAGUGUGCUUGUGUGUGUGUUCGCGUGUGUGUGUGUGUGUGUUGGACUUUUUUCCUCCAUUAAAAUUCGGAAUAAAAAAUGGUCGUCCCUCCCCUGA